GACGAACGCUGGCGGCGUGCUUAACACAUGCAAGUCGAACGGAAAGGCCCUGCCUUUGUGGGGUGCUCGAGUGGCGAACGGGUGAGUAACACGUGAGUAACCUGCCCUUGACUUGGGGAUAACUUCAGGAAACUGGGGCUAAUACCGGAUAGGAGCUCCUGCUGCAUGGUGGGGGUUGGAAAGUUUCGGCGGUUGGGGUUGGACUCGCGGCUUAUCAGCUUGUUGGUGGGGUAGUGGCUUACCAAGGCCUUGACGGGUAGCCGGCCUGAGAGGGUGACCGGCCACAUUGGGACUGAGAUACGGCCCGGACUCCUACGGGAGGCAGCAGUGGGGAAUAUUGCAAAAUGGGCGGAAGCCUGAUGCAGCAACGCCGCGUGCGGGAUGACGGCCUUCGGGUUGUAAACCGCUUUCGCCUGUGACGAAGCGUGAGUGACGGUAAUGGGUAAAGAAGCACCGGCUAACUACGUG
rnacentral:rRNA from 1 species